GAUGAGCCCCAACACGUCGAACAGAAUGCCGAGCAGAAAGAGCACCCCGCAGCGCCCGACGAUCUUACCAAGCGCUGGCAUUGGUGUGCGGAGAUGGCCCGGCUUGCUGGCAACGGGAAACCUCACCGCGCACACACAGAUGCUGCCUUACCUGCUGAGUUCUUCCAGCACUUUGCUUUUGUACAUGUAUGCAAAGUUGAUAGAGUUACUGUCGGAGCCUGGGAUCGACACUCCAACCGCGGCCUGUGGAUUUCAACAUCGAGGAGCUCGCAGCCUCGGGUAGAGACUGAUGUCGGGAAGCUCCAAGCCACAGGAGGUUUGACCAGCCCCGACUUGGGAAUCCGAUCGCCCGGCACAGAGAGCUGAGAUCCCCCGAUUCAGAUGGUUCGACCACUGGCUGCGGGAGCCAAGAUCGCCCCGACAACGGAAUUUUCAAAUGCCCCGUCUGCGGGAGAACAAAGAAGGAAAGAAGUUUGAACUUUUUGUGCCUUCCAUCACAGUGGGGAGUGUGGGGGAGUCGCUGUGGUGGAUGUUUAUGUUAAAAAUAUAUAUUUUGUCUUGUUGGUAUGACUGUAUGGCAAUCUGAAUUUUACUGUACUUUAAUUGGUACAUGUCACAAAAAACAAACCUGGAACCUUGAUGCAAUCUGUCAAUUAAAAAAAAUAUUUAAAAAGAACUGUUUUUAUAGUUCUAUGAAAGUUUAGAUUGGAAUAAAGCAUAUUCCAAUAUGCUUUAUUCCAAUUAAACAGUAAUUGGCCUAAUUGCUGGCCAAUGCUUCUGGAAUAUUUAUGCUAAACCUAUCAGAAAUCCAUUAUGCUGUUGUUGGUACAUAUGAUAAUCAAACACUCUUGACUCUACAGCUGCAUAUAGUCAGAAAUAAACAAAUAUGUGAAUCGCGUGAAAUGAACCAGCAAAAUGUCAAUACCCAAUAGACAAUGGUGCAGGAGUAGGCCAUUCGGCCCUUCGAGCCAGCACCGCCAUUCAACGUGAUCAUGGCAAACCAAAUUCAAAGUGAACAUGUACACAAGACUCACUAAUUGUUAUUGGAAUCUUCACCUUGCCCCCUUACUCCAAAUACAACAAGAACCAUCACAAGCUUACCAGAUACAUGCCUAAGAUUCAUUUCCUUAGAGUUUAAUAUGUUUACAAGGUGGUGUAGUGUAUACACAGAAUGACUGCAUUCAGUCCAAAUGCAUCUGUAAACAACUGCUAAAAUGCCAGCUCUAAAAUAAUAAAUGAUUUCUCUUUUCCUUGUUUGUACUAUGAUUCAAAGUAAAAUAAA